AAAAAAAAUUAAUUAGAAUUGAACACAUUAAGAUAAUUGUUUGUUUCGUUUUCGAAUAAUUUAAUAUAUUAUAUAUGUAUAUAAAGGUGUGGGUGACAGUGUGGUAUUAACGUAUCGACGGUGAUAUUGUACCGUUUGACAGGAUAACAUCAUAAACUAUAAUUAUACGUUUCGCGUUUAAUGCGUGUGUUUUGGAAAAUUUCAACGAAAACCGUGUUAAAACGUGGUAACAAUCGGUUUUACUCGGGGCCGUUGCCGGUGCGGGAUUGCGGGACGAGAGCGGGGGGGACGGUGUCGGACCCGCAAACGGGCGUCUCCGUUUUUUUUUUACCGAAUUCGACCUCUCGAAUUCCCACCGGCAACCGUCUCCGGCAAAACUCGCCUUUCGCUUUUUUAGUUUCUCCGCGCUCGUAUCCGCCGAAAGAGUGGACAUCUGUCGACCGAAAACUCAUACCGCCGUCGAGUGAACACGUUUCAUUGUGUUAUUCACGACCGAGACGAUUGCGCUUUUCCCCGAUUUGGCGAAAACGGGUCGAUAUCACUUUUCCGGCGGAGACGGCGCGGGUCCGUUUCGGCGGAAAGGGGAAAAGUCCGUUUCGGUGAAAACCGGUCCCGCCGCCCCCAAACGGCCACGGUCGAAACUAUGGAUCGCGGGAAAACGGCACGAGAGUCGUCGUAACACGACGGCAAACGAAGACAUUUUUUUUUUUUUUACAACAGUUUUGAAAUCGCGUACAGCGACGCACAGAAAAUCGAACGGUUC